UCAUUUUUCUCCUUUUCUCCUAUACCCAGGUUCCGUGAAGCUUAUCCUUCGCCUACAGCCUAUAGAAAGCACGGAUCGACUUCCUCUGCCCUCGGCCUUCCCCGCCAGGUACGUCCAUCGGAAGCAGCCUGCUCCUCCCUGCCACCAAGGCUUGCUCCUCGGAAGUUAAUCUUGCCACCAAACCAGGUGCAUCGCCUGGCCAUGACCGACACACUGGCUACAGGUCCGCCUUCUCCUCCGUAAAUAUAUAAAACUAUAAAGACAAAUAUAUUCAUGGUCAGCGGAUUGUGAUCACAGACGAGCGAUUUCAAACUAAAGACUUGUUUCAUCUUAGGAGGCGCGGGCCAGAGUUCCAAAGAAAACAAAGGAGAUGAUGCGAAUUGGUACCUCUUUUAUUCCUUUUAUCCAAGAUUUACAAUGUGUAUCCAACUAAGUCCACAUGCCAAUUUUCUUGCACAAAAGAGUUAGCAGCCAAGUGAUGGUGCAAGAAACAUAGUAUUAUGUAUGUGCAACUUGUUCAAGUACUUAAACCUCGUGUUUUUUUU
rnacentral:lncRNA from 1 species